rnacentral:rRNA from 1 species
AGAGUUUGAUCCUGGCUCAGGACGAACGCUGGCGGCGUGCCUAAUACAUGCAAGUCGAGCGAGCUUGCCUAGAUGAUUUUAGUGCUUGCACUAAAUGAAACUAGAUACAAGCGAGCGGCGGACGGGUGAGUAACACGUGGGUAACCUGCCCAAGAGACUGGGAUAACACCUGGAAACAGAUGCUAAUACCGGAUAACAACACUAGACGCAUGUCUAGAGUUUGAAAGAUGGUUCUGCUAUCACUCUUGGAUGGACCUGCGGUGCAUUAGCUAGUUGGUAAGGUAAUGGCUUACCAAGGCGAUGAUGCAUAGCCGAGUUGAGAGACUGAUCGGCCACAUUGGGACUGAGACACGGCCCAAACUCCUACGGGAGGCAGCAGUAGGGAAUCUUCCACAAUGGACGAAAGUCUGAUGGAGCAACGCCGCGUGAGUGAAGAAGGGUUUCGGCUCGUAAAGCUCUGUUGGUAGUGAAGAAAGAUAGAGGUAGUAACUGGCCUUUAUUUGACGGUAAUUACUUAGAAAGUCACGGCUAACUACGUGCCAGCAGCCGCGGUAAUACGCAGGUGGCAAGCGUUGUCCGGAUUUAUUGGGCGUAAAGCGAGUGCAGGCGGUUCAAUAAGUCUGAUGUGAAAGCCUUCGGCUCAACCGGAGAAUUGCAUCAGAAACUGUUGAACUUGAGUGCAGAAGAGGAGAGUGGAACUCCAUGUGUAGCGGUGGAAUGCGUAGGUAUAUGGAAGAACACCAGUGGCGAAGGCGGCUCUCUGGUCUGCAACUGACGCUGAGGCUCGAAAGCAUGGGUAGCGAACAGGAUUAGAUACCCUGGUAGUCCAUGCCGUAAACGAUGAGUGCUAAGUGUUGGAGGGUUUCCGCCCUUCAGUGCUGCAGCUAACGCAUUAAGCACUCCGCCUGGGGAGUACGACCGCAAGGUUGAAACUCAAAGGAAUUGACUG